CACGUAGGGUGCGAGCGUUGUCCGGAAUUAUUGGGCGUAAAGAGCUCGUAGGCGGUGUGUCGCGUCGGCCGUGAAAACCUGCAGCUUAACUGUGGGCUUGCGGUCGAUACGGGCAUCACUGGAGUUCGGCAGGGGAGACUGGAAUUCCUGGUGUAGCGGUGAAAUGCGCAGAUAUCAGGAGGAACACCGGUGGCGAAGGCGGGUCUCUGGGCCGAUACUGACGCUGAGGCACGAAAGCGUGGGUAGCAAACAGG
rnacentral:rRNA from 1 species